UACGUAGGGGGCAAGCGUUGUCCGGAAUCAUUGGGCGUAAAGCGCGUGUAGGCGGUUUUGUAAGUCUGCUGUGAAAGUCCAGGGCUCAACCCUGGGAUGCCGGUGGAUACUGCAGGGCUAGAGUACGGAAGAGGCGAGUGGAAUUCCCGGUGUAGCGGUGAAAUGCGCAGAUAUCGGGAGGAACACCUAUUGCGAAGGCAGCUCGCUGGGACGUUACUGACGCUGAGACGCGAAAGCGUGGGGAGCAAACAGG
rnacentral:rRNA from 1 species